rnacentral:rRNA from 1 species
UCCCAGACUCCUACGGGAGGCAGCAGUGGGGAAUAUUGCACAAUGGGGGAAACCCUGAUGCAGCAACGCCGCGUGGGUGAAGAAGUAUUUCGGUAUGUAAAGCCCUAUCAGCAGGGAAGAGAAUGACGGUACCUGACUAAGAAGCCCCGGCUAACUACGUGCCAGCAGCCGCGGUAAUACGUAGGGGGCAAGCGUUAUCCGGAUUUACUGGGUGUAAAGGGGGCGCAGACGGCAGCGCAAGCCAGGAGUGAAAGCCCGGGGCCCAACCCCGGGACUGCUCUUGGAGCUGCGCGGCUGGAGUGCAGGAGGGGCAGGCGGAAUUCCUGGUGUAGCGGUGAAAUGCGUAGAUAUCAGGAGGAACACCGGUGGCGAAGGCGGCCUGCUGGACUGCGACUGACGUUGAGGCCCGAAAGCGUGGGGAGCAAACAGGAUUAGAUACCCUGGUAC